AUUGAACGCUGGCGGCAGGCCUAACACAUGCAAGUCGAGCGGGGUUUUCGGACCUAGCGGCGGACGGGUGAGCAAUGCGUAGGAAGCUGCCCGAUAGAGGGGGAUACCAGUUGGAAACGACUGUUAAUACCGCAUAAUAUCUACGGACCAAAGUGUGGGACCUUCGGGCCACAUGCUAUCGGAUGCGCCUACGUGGGAUUAGCUAGUUGGUGAGGUAAUGGCUCACCAAGGCGACGAUCUCUAGCUGGUUUGAGAGGAUGAUCAGCCACACUGGAACUGAGACACGGUCCAGACUCCUACGGGAGGCAGCAGUGGGGAAUAUUGGACAAUGGGCGCAAGCCUGAUCCAGCCAUGCCGCGUGUGUGAAGAAGGCCUUCGGGUUGUAAAGCACUUUCAGCGAGGAGGAAGGGGUGUGUGUUAAUAGUACACACCUUUGACGUUACUCGCAGAAGAAGCACCGGCUAACUCUGUGCCAGCAGCCGCCGUAACAC
rnacentral:rRNA from 1 species